rnacentral:misc_RNA from 1 species
GUACCCUCAAGCUCUGCUUGGUGUUGGGUGUUUGUCCCGCCUUCGUGCGUGGACUCGCCUUAAAGUGAUUGGCAGCCGGAAUAAUUCUGGGGAACGCAGCACAACUGCAGCCUCCAUUUUACGCCGAGCGUCCAGCAAGCCUUUUUUCAAC